GUCCCUAUCUACUAUCUAGCGAAACCACAGCCAAGGGAACGGGCUUGGAAUCAUUAGCGGGGAAAGAAGACCCUGUUGAGCUUGACUCUAGUUUGGCACUGUAAGAAGACAUAAGAGGUGUAGCAUAAGUGGGAGAUAUUUCGCAAGAUUUAUCAACAAUGAAAUACCACUACUUUUAUCGUUUUCUUACUUACUUGAUUAAAUGGAGAAUGCACUUUCUUUCAUUCCAUGUAUGUGUAUUUAUAUGCUGCAUGACAAUGAUGAUCUUGUGCACUUUUCUCGAUCCAAGUGUCAUGAACCGUUGGUACGUUUGCACAACCAAGGUUCCUUCGGGUUCUGAGGUUGGAGUAUUAACAAUUAUGGUUAAGACACGAUCCAAGUCAGGGACACUGCCAGGUGGGGAGUUUGACUGGGGCGGUACAUCUCUAAAAUAAUA
rnacentral:rRNA from 1 species